rnacentral:rRNA from 1 species
UUCGAGUGGCGGACGGGUGAGUAACGCGUGGUAACCUGCCUUACACAGGGGGAUAACACCUGGAAACAGGUGCUAAUACCGCAUAAGCGCACAGGGCCGCAUGGCCCGGUGUGAAAAACUCCGGUGGUGUAAGAUGGACCCGCGUCUGAUUAGCUUGUUGGCGGGGUAGGGGCCCACCAAGGCGACGAUCAGUAGCCGGCCUGAGAGGGUGGACGGCCACAUUGGGACUGAGACACGGCCCAAACUCCUACGGAAGGCAGCAG